CUGUUGAACUCGUCAAAGGGCCUCAUCUGCUUUCUUUCAUCUUGUGAAGGUUCCAUCCUCUGACCUCAUGCUUCUUUGUGUGCACUUGGUGAUUAUUAUUAGUACUUUCGCUGCUAAUUGUUUAGUGUUUCAAUACAUUUUGUUCCUCUCAUAUAGUGUCUUUAUCGUUCUUGGUAGAACGAUUUUCUUGUGCAUAGAAAUUUUUGUCCUCUUACCUCAUAUUUAUUUGUGUGCUCUUGGUAAUUAUUGUUUGAGUUCAUUUUGUUUGUCUUCUGUCGCUUAUUUCCUUUCCAUCUGUAGGAUAUCCACAUUUGUAUGUUUUGUUUGUAUGCAGCUUGCGCCUUUUCCCUACGCUUUAAUGCUGGCCUGAACUAUUUGUGUGUCGUCUGUUUGCUUUUCUCUUUCCAUUUGGCAUAUGUGCUUGGUCUUGCUCUAUGAGAGUGAGCUCUCAUAUUUUCCUGCAUCUACAUCUGUUGCAGUGUUUCUUUUCUACGGUUGGUGUCAGCAGUCAGCUCAUCUCCUGGUUCAUCAUCCAGUAUUUGCACUCCUCUGAUCAACUUGCUAAGGUUCCAACUUCCUCCUUUACUUGUAUUCUUUAUACUUGUUGCAAAUCAAGUAAUUUAACCGGUUCUAACUGUGUGUGUAACGUGUGGUGUGACAUUUUGCUUUUUU
rnacentral:lncRNA from 1 species